GAGUAGCUGGGAUUGCAGGCAUUCAUCACCACACCCAGCACCAGGCCCAGAGGCCUACCUGCAGAACCAGGAGCCUUCCCAGAGAUGCCUGUUGAUGGAUGGCUACACUGAGAACCUGAAAUAGCGUGCAAAUAACUCUCUUCUCUGUACUUGAAGCCAAAUCGCAUUCCCAGGCAGACAUAUCCAGCGGGGAAAGAAGAAACAAGAAAAUGAAUGAUCCACUUGCACAAGAAUCUCUCCUAUGAGCAAGUGUUAGGUGAGGGUGGGGAUAAGAUGCCUGUCUCGGGAGACAAGGCUGUACAAAUUCAUAAUUUGAAUUUUUAUGGUUAAUUUUAUGGUUAAUUUUAUGGAAUUUUAUGGUUAAUCUUGGAUAGUGGGAUUUGGGAUAAAUUUGCUUUUAUAAUAUGUAAUUGUAUUUUCUGAAUUUUCUACAGUGAACUCGUAUUGCUUUUAUGAACAGGAAAAAGAACAACAAAUGCCAUAAAAAUCAUGUAGUAUAUUAAUCUUGUCUUCCUAACAAGACUAUAUAAGUUCCCUGACAGAGGGAGUCA
rnacentral:lncRNA from 1 species